rnacentral:rRNA from 1 species
GUCAGCAGCAAUUCUGCCUGCGGUUCAGACUAGGUAAUCCACCUGAAGCUAAGCAGGUUUGGGCCUGGCCAGUAUUUGGAUGGGAGACCAACUAAGCAAGUUGGGUUGCUGCUGGAA